UACGAAGGGUGCAAGCGUUGUUCGGAUUUAUUGGGCGUAAAGCGCGCGCAGGCGGAUAAUUAAGCCAGAUGUGAAAUCUCGGGGCUCAACCCCGAAACUGCGUCUGGAACUGGUUAUCUAGAGUCUCGGAGGGGGAAGCGGAAUCUCGCAUGUAGGGGUAAAAUCCGUAGAGAUGCGAGGGAACACCAGAGCCGAAGGGGGCUUCCUGGACGAGUACUGACGCUGAGGCGCGAAAGCGUGGGGAGCAAACAGG
rnacentral:rRNA from 1 species